rnacentral:rRNA from 1 species
UACAGAGGUCUCAAGCGUUGUUCGGAUUCAUUGGGCGUAAAGGGUGCGUAGGCGGCGCGGUAAGUCGGGUGUGAAAUCUCGGAGCUUAACUCCGAAACUGCAUUCGAUACUGCCGUGCUUGAGGACUGGAGAGGAGACUGGAAUUUACGGUGUAGCGGUGAAAUGCGUAGAUAUCGUAAGGAACACCGGUGGCGAAGGCGGCUUCCUGGCCAUUCACUGACGCUGAGACGCGAAAGCGUGGGGAGCAAACAGG